CUAACACCAUAAUCUAACCCAGUCUAACCCUAACUCCAUAGUCUAACCCAGUCUGACCCUAACACCACAGUCUAACCCAGUCUAACCCUAACACCACAGUCUAACCCAGUCUAACCCUAACUCCAUAGUCUAACCCAGUCUAACCCUAACACCACAAUCUAACCCAGUCUAACCAUAACUCCACAGUCUAACCCAGUCUAACCCUAACACCACAGUCUAACCCUGUCUAACCCUAACACCACAGUCUAACCCAGUCUAACCCUAACUCCACAGUCUAACCCAGUCUAACCCUAACUCCACAGUCUAACCCUAACUCCACAGUCUAACCCAGUCUAACCCUAACUCCAUAGUCUAACCCAGUCUAACCCUAACUCCACAGUCUAACCCAAACUCCACAGUCUAACCCAGUCUAACCCUACCACCACAGUCUAACCCAGUCUAACCCUGAC
ensembl:lncRNA